rnacentral:rRNA from 1 species
GAUGAACGCUGGCGGCGUGUCUAACACAUGCAAGUCGAGCGAACAGACGAGGAGCUUGCUCCUCUGACGUUAGCGGCGGACGGGUGAGUAACACGUGGAUAACCUACCUAUAAGACUGGGAUAACUUCGGGAAACCGGAGCUAAUACCGGAUAAUAUAUUGAACCGCAUGGUUCAAUAGUGAAAGACGGUUUUGCUGUCACUUAUAGAUGGAUCCGCGCCGCAUUAGCUAGUUGGUAAGGUAACGGCUUACCAAGGCAACGAUGCGUAGCCGACCUGAGAGGGUGAUCGGCCACACUGGAACUGAGACACGGUCCAGACUCCUACGGGAGGCAGCAGUAGGGAAUCUUCCGCAAUGGGCGAAAGCCUGACGGAGCAACGCCGCGUGAGUGAUGAAGGUCUUCGGAUCGUAAAACUCUGUUAUUAGGGAAGAACAAAUGUGUAAGUAACUAUGCACGUCUUGACGGUACCUAAUCAGAAAGCCACGGCUAACUACGUG